rnacentral:rRNA from 1 species
CGGACGGGUGAGUAAUGCCUAGGAAUCUGCCUGGUAGUGGGGGACAACGUUUCGAAAGGAACGCUAAUACCGCAUACGUCCUACGGGAGAAAGCAGGGGACCUUCGGGCCUUGCGCUAUCAGAUGAGCCUAGGUCGGAUUAGCUAGUUGGUGAGGUAAUGGCUCACCAAGGCGACGAUCCGUAACUGGUCUGAGAGGAUGAUCAGUCACACUGGAACUGAGACACGGUCCAGACUCCUACGGGAGGCAGCAGAG